rnacentral:rRNA from 1 species
CUCAGUUCGGAUCGGAGUCUGNAACCCGACUCCGUGAAGCUGGAUUCGCUAGUAAUCGCGCAUCAGCCAUGGCGCGGUGAAUACGUUCCCGGGCCUUGUACACACCGCCCGUCACACCAUGGGAGUCGGUAACACCCGAAGUCGGUAGCCUAACCGUAAGGAGGGCGCCGCCGAAGGUGGGAUUGAUGACUGGGGUGAAGUCGUAACAAGGUAAC